CACACACACACACACACACACACACACAGACACACACACACACAUAGCUGCUGAACCCAGAGAUGUUACGUAUGCUGACGUUAGAAUCACACAGGACCCAGAACACAGGAGAAGGAGAGGUACACACACAGAGACAGAGACAGAGACAGAGACACACACACACACAUAGCAGCUGAACCCAGAGAUGUUACGUAUGCUGACGUUAGAAUCACACAGGACCCAGAACACAGGAGAAGGAGAGGUACACACACAGAGACAGAGACAGAGACAGAGACACACACACACACAUAGCAGCUGAACCCAGAGAUGUUACGUAUGCUGACGUUAGAAUCACACAGGACCCAGAACCCAGGAGAAGGAGAGGUACACACACACACACACAUAGCUGCUGAACCCAGAGAUGUUACGUAUGCUGAUGUCAGAAUCACACAGGACCCAGAACCCAGGAGAAGGAGAGGUACACACACACACACACACACACACACACACACACAGACACACACACACACACACACACACACACACACACACACACACACACACACACACACACACACAUAGCUGCUGAACCCAGAGAUGUUACGUAUGCUGACGUUAGAAUCACACAGGACCCAGAACACAGGAGAAGGAGAGGUACACACACACACACACACACACACACACACACACACACACACAGACACACAGACACACACACACACACACACACACAGACACACACACACACACACACACACACACACACACACAUAGCUGCUGAACCCAGAGAUGUUACGUAUGCUGACGUUAGAAUCACACAGGACCCAGAACACAGGAGAAGGAGAGGUACACACACACACACACACACACACACACACACACACACACAGUACAGUGUCUUUAUGUCUUCAACCUGUUGUCUCGUCUCCUGCAGAGAAGUCUCCAGGAGCUGAUCCAGUCUACUCUGCAGUGAAGACCUCCAACACCACAGUUCCAGGUGGAUCUGGUCCAGGUGAUGUGACCUAUGCUGACAUCAACCACACAGAGAAGAGACAACACAACAGGAGGAGAGAGAAGGUCGUUCCAGACCCUGUCUACUCAGCAGUGAAGACAGAGAGAGAUACAGGUCAAAAGGUCGUUCCAGACCCUGUCUACUCAGCGGUGAAGACAGAC
ensembl:lncRNA